UCCAAAAAGAAAAUUCCAAACCAAUAACACAUUCGUAGCUGCUCGCCAAGCUCAAAUUUAUAAAAUUAAUGAGAUUUAAACUGUUUUUGUUCAGCUGACCAGAAAUGGAUUCUAAUAUAAAUACCCAAAAUGGUAACAAUAAUGCCAUAAAAAGAUACAUUCUUGAUGAAAAAGUUCCCGAUAAGAAAGUAACUUCUUUGAAAUGUUUGAAUAACAAUAGUGCUGCCCUUCAACGUUUCCUCCGAGAUGAAAUAUGUUCCAACAUCGGAAAUAAUGACAAUCUGAUGUUGACCACACAAGAUCCACCAUGGGAAUAUAACUCGCCACUAGACUGUGACCCACCAAAGAAAAAAAAAGACACCUUAAUAAUAAAAGACUUUGCAUAAUGCACGCUUCAAACCAGACAAGGAAGGAUAGAAGAAGUAAUGAGUAAAGACAGAAUGGAGACCUUGGAUGAGAAGACUCCAGUGCUCAACAAUCUUAAUUAUUAUGUGGGCCAUUCAGUGAAAAAGACAAUCUUAAUUAUUAUGUGGGCCAUUCAGUGAAAAAGACGAUCUUAAUUAUUAUGUGGGCCAUUCAGUGAAAAAGACGAUGCAAGCCUGGCACGCAUUCAAACGCUCAAACCUUCGCGGUGUAACAUUACCACAUGACAAUAUACUGGAAACUCAAUGUUUGAUUGCGGGCGUGUUUACACAAAACACAGAUUUGUGGUGAAAUAAAUGAUCCAUGUACUGAAGAUCUGGUACAUGACAGAUGUUAGAGAAGUUUUCACUUUUUGGCCAACAUUGUUUAAAUACACAAAGGCCGUGUUCGAAUUGGCGGCUAUAGCAGCUACAACCAUUGCUAAGGAUGUCCUAUACUUCAACGCAUGAUGAUGUGGUGAUUCAGCCGCAGCUAUUGCCCUAUAGCCACCAAUUCAAUCACACAUGGCCUUACAAUAGCCUAGGCCCAAUUUCAAAGAGCUGCUUAGCAAAAAAAUUCUUUCUUGAUAAUAAAAAAAAAGGAUUACCAACC